UUGAAAGGGAAACGAUUGAAGUCAGUCGUACCAGCGGGAAAUCAACCUUUCGAGUGGGGGUUUUGGGGUUUUGAAGAGUGUUAAGCCUUUGAGAUUUCGAAACGUUCGCUCUUUUGGUGUACUUUCUCGUAGGUAGGUUAGCAUCGAUUUUGAUCAUCAUAAAAAGAUUGGAGGAAUGUAGCUUCGAUCUCGUAUUGAAGUGUUAUAGCCUUUGGUAAAUGUGAUGGUUAGGAUCGAGGAUUGCAACGAAUACCCUUUUGGGCUAUCCGCCUGAUCUCUGAUACGUGGCCUUGGUAUCGAAAGCGUGCUUAUGGUAUUAAGGUAUUACGGUCAAGAGGUUAGAACGGAUUACAUUCGUUAAGGAUGUUGACGUA
rnacentral:rRNA from 1 species